rnacentral:rRNA from 1 species
AAUGACAUUUUAUGCCUAUGUGUCUUGACCAAAUUACGUGCCAGCAGUCGCGGUAAUACGUAGAAGACUAGUGUUAUUCAUCUUUAAUUGGUUUAAAGGGUACCUAGACGGUAAAUCAAGCCUUAACACAAGGGACUAAUAUACUAGAGUUACAUGUGAGGGAGUUCUAAAGUACUGCUGGUGUAGAGAUGAAAUUCUGUCAUACCUUUAGCGAUUAAAAGCACGGCACAGGUAUAGGCGAAGGCAUCUCCUUAUGUGAUAACUGACGUUGAGGGACGAAGGCUUUUGUAGCGAACAGGAUUAGUUACCCCAGUAGUCCAAGCAGAAAAUGAUGAAUGUCAUAGAUUAGAUAAAAAGAUUUAUUCUAUAAAUGAAAGUGUAAGCAUUCCACCUCAAGAGUAAUUUGGCAACAUUGGAACUGAAAUCAUUAGACCGUUUCUGAAACCAGUAGUGAAGUAUGUUGUUUAAUUUGAUGAUCCGCAAAGAACCUUACCACAACUUGAAUAUUUAUAUUUUAAUAUAUUUACAAGCGUUGCACGGCUGUCUUCAGUUAAUGUCGUGAGACUUUGGUUAGUUCCAUUAAAUUAACGUAAACCCUUACUUUAUUUUUAUAUAAAGUGGUUCCCCGCUAUAUUGGAUAUGAUAACAGGGACUAAGACAAGUCAUCAUGGCCUAAAUAUUGU